rnacentral:rRNA from 1 species
UACGUAGGUGACAAGAGUUAUCCGGAAUUACUGGGCGUAAAGCGCACGCAGGCGGAAGCUUAAGUCUGACGUGAAAUCUCCUGGCUUAACUGGGAGAGGUCGUUGGAAACUGGGCAGCUUGAGGUGGUGAGAGGUGUGCAGAAUUCCCGGUGUAGUGGUGGAAUGCGUAGAUAUCGGGAGGAAUACCAGUGGCGAAAGCGGCGCCCUGGCACUGACCUUACGCUCAUGUGCGAAAGCGUGGCGAGCAAACGGG